UACGGAGGAUCCGAGCGUUAUCCGGAUUUAUUGGGUUUAAAGGGUGCGUAGGCGGCCUAUUAAGUCAGGGGUGAAAUACGGUGGCUCAACCAUCGCAGUGCCUUUGAUACUGAUGGGCUUGAAUCCAUUUGAAGUGGGCGGAAUAAGACAAGUAGCGGUGAAAUGCAUAGAUAUGUCUUAGAACUCCGACUGCGAAGGCAGCUCACUAAGCUGGUAUUGACGCUGAUGCACGAAAGCGUGGGGAUCGAACAGG
rnacentral:rRNA from 1 species